rnacentral:tmRNA from 1 species
GGGGCUGAUUCUGGAUUCGACGGGAUUUGCGAAACCCAAGGUGCAUGCCGAGGGGCGGUUGGCCUCGUAAAAAGCCGCAAAAAAAUAGUCGCAAACGACGAAAACUACGCUUUAGCAGCUUAAUAACCUUUAGCAGCUUAAUAACCUGCUCUGAGCCCUCUCUCCCUAGCUUCCGCUCUUAAGACGGGGAUCAAAGAGAGGUCAAACCCAAAAGAGAUCGCGUGGAAGCCCUGCCUGGGGUUGAAGCGUUAAAACUAAUCAGGCUAGUCUGGUAGUGGCGUGUCCGUCCGCAGGUGCCAGGCGAAUGUAAAGACAGACUAAGCAUGUAGUACCGAGGAUGUAGGAAUUUCGGACGCGGGUGUUCAACUCCCGCCAGCUCCACCA